CGGCGACGGGUGAGUAACACGUGGGUAACCUACCCUCGGGUGGGGAAUAACCUAGGGAAACCUGGGCUAAUACCGCAUCAUAUCCUGGGCUCUCAAGAAUCCGGGAUCAAAGCUGGGGACCCUUCGGGGCCUGGCGCCUGAGGAGGGGCCCGCGGCCGAUUAGCUUGUUGGUGAGGUAAUGGCUCACCAAGGCAACGAUCGGUAGCCGGCCUGAGAGGGCGGACGGUCACACUGGGACUGAGACACGGGCCAG
rnacentral:rRNA from 1 species